GAUGAACGCUGGCGGCGUGCCUAAUACAUGCAAGUCGAGCGAACGGACGAGAAGCUUGCUUCUCUGAUGCUAGCGGCGGACGGGUGAGUAACACGUGGAUAACCUACCUAUAAGACUGGGAUAACCUCGGGAAACCGGAGCUAAUACCGGAUAAUAUUUUGAACCGCAUGGUUCAAAAGUGAAAGACGGUCUUGCUGUCACUUAUAGAUGGAUCCGCGCUGCAUUAGCUGGUUGGUAAGGUAACGGCUUACCAAGGCAACGAUGCAUAGCCGACCUGAGAGGGUGAUCGGCCACACUGGAACUGAGACACGGUCCAGACUCCUACGGGAGGCAGCAGUAGGGAAUCUUCCGCAAUGGGCGAAAGCCUGACGGAGCAACGCCGCGUGAGUGAUGAAGGUCUUCGGAUCGUAAAACUCUGUUAUUAGGGAAGAACAUAUGUGUAAGUAACUGUGCACAUCUUGACGGUACCUAAUCAGAAAGCCACGGCUAACUACGUGCCAGCAGCCGCGGUAAUACGUAGGUGGCAAGCGUUAUCCGGAAUUUAUGGGCGUAAAGCGCGCGUAGGCGGUUUUUUGAGUCUGAUGUGAAAGCCCACGGCUCAACCGUGGAGGGUCAUUGGAAACUGGAAAACUUGAGUGCAGAAGAGGAAAGUGGAAUUCCAUGUGUAGCGGUGAAAUGCGCAGAGAUAUGGAGGAACACCAGUGGCGAAGGCGACUUUCUGGUCUGUAACUGACGCUGAUGUGCGAAAGCGUGGGGAUCAAACAGGAUUAGAUACCCUGGUAGUCCACGCCGUAAACGAUGAGUGCUAAGUGUUAGGGGGUUUCCGCCCCUUAGUGCUGCAGCUAACGCAUUAAGCACUCCGCCUGGGGAGUACGACCGCAAGGUUGAAACUCAAAGGAAUUGACGGGGACCCGCACAAGCGGUGGAGCAUGUGGUUUAAUUCGAAGCAACGCGAAGAACCUUACCAAAUCUUGACAUCCUUUGACAACUCUAGAGAUAGAGCCUUCCCCUUCGGGGGACAAAGUGACAGGUGGUGCAUGGUUGUCGUCAGCUCGUGUCGUGAGAUGUUGGGUUAAGUCCCGCAACGAGCGCAACCCUUAAGCUUAGUUGCCAUCAUUAAGUUGGGCACUCUAAGUUGACUGCCGGUGACAAACCGGAGGAAGGUGGGGAUGACGUCAAAUCAUCAUGCCCCUUAUGAUUUGGGCUACACACGUGCUACAAUGGACAAUACAAAGGGCAGCGAAACCGCGAGGUCAAGCAAAUCCCAUAAAGUUGUUCUCAGUUCGGAUUGUAGUCUGCAACUCGACUACAUGAAGCUGGAAUCGCUAGUAAUCGUAGAUCAGCAUGCUACGGUGAAUACGUUCCCGGGUCU
rnacentral:rRNA from 1 species